AAAAAAAAAGUUAAAAAAUUGGUGUUACGUACAUGGAAGAUAAUGGAUCAGUUUUAUACCUGUUAUAUAUCGAGGUAGCAGAGAUCUUUGGAAUAGAAGGUACUAUUAAUUGCACCUUGUCGUAUUACAUCAGUACAUCUUUUCUGUGGGACAACUGAGAAUCAUUGGUGGAGCAAGUGAAUGCUUAAAGUUGUGGAUGAAGUACUGAACAAGGAGGCUACCAUGUCUUUGAUGGCAUCAAGUUUCUUGGGUGUUGUUAGAUCUGCCCUCAUCCAGGAUCACUUUGCACCUAGAGAAGAGAAUGUGAUGGCUGGUAACAUAAAUCAUGCUGGACACCAUCAGCACCAGGCCCAGUGUGACUGCCACUUUAACCCCCCCCCCCCCCCCAAUUCCCUCAUAUGUAUCUGUUCCCCAUUACCCAAACUACUCAGGUAGCCCUUUCCAACCAUAGUGCCCAAUGGUGAGAAACACCACAUUAAACUUAUUUACACCUAUCUUUCCUGCCCUUGAACUUCAGCAUUACAUCUUGUGAUGUCAAUUUGCUCCUUUAUGUUCUUCCUGUGGAGGCCACAGGGAUGGUCAUAACUCUUGCUCCC